rnacentral:rRNA from 1 species
AUUGAACGCUGGCGGCAGGCCUAACACAUGCAAGUCGAGCGAGCGGCGGACGGGUGAGUAAUGUAUGGGGACUGCCCGAUAGAGGGGGAUAACUACUGGAAACGGUGGCUAAUACCGCAUACUAUCGGAUAACCCAUAUGGGAUUAGCUAGUAGAUGGGGUAAAGGCUCACCUAGGCGACGAUCUCUAGCUGGUCUGAGAGGAUGAUCAGCCAUACUGGGACUGAGAGACGGCCCAGACUCCUACGGAGGCAGCAGUGGGGAAUUUUGCGCAAUGGGGGCGACCCUGACGGAGCCAUGCCGCGUGAAUGAAGAAGGCCUUCGGGUGGUAAAGUUCUUUCGGUAGCGAGGCGUUGACUACAGAAGAAGCACCGGCUAACUCCGUGCCAGCCGCCGCGGUAAUUC